rnacentral:rRNA from 1 species
ACGGGAGGCAGCAGUGGGGAAUAUUGCGCAAUGGGCGAAAGCCUGACGCAGCGACGCCGCGUGUGGGAUGACGGCCUUCGGGUUGUAAACCACUGUCGGGAGGGACGAAUGCGCCGCAAGGCGAGUGACGGUACCUCCAAAGGAAGCACCGGCUAACUCCGUGCCAGCAGCCGCGGUAAUACGGAGGGUGCGAGCGUUGUCCGGAAUCACUGGGCGUAAAGGGCGCGUAGGCGGCCUGGUAAGUAGGGGGUGAAAUCCUGCGGCUUAACCGCAGGGCUGCCUUCUAAACUGUCAGGCUCGAGCACGGUAGAGGCAGAUGGAAUUCCCGGUGUAGCGGUGGAAUGCGUAGAGAUCGGGAAGAACAUCAGUGGCGAAGGCGGUCUGCUGGGCCGUUGCUGACGCUGAGGCGCGACAGCGUGGGGAGCAAACAGGAUUAGAUACCCUGGUA